CGAAUGAAGAGGAGAGCUCAAAUUGAUCAGCGUCUGCGUCGAAUGUAUCUAGAGAAGUGUUCCCGUGACGGACCGUGCACAAGUCUCCUGAAUGAGCGUCAUAGAGGGUGAGAAUCCGUAUAUGGCAUGGACUGCCGUUGCUCUGUGAUACACUCUCGACGAGUCGAGUUGUUUGGGAAUGCAGCUCUAAAUGGGUGGUAAAUGCCAUCUAAAGCUAAAUAUUGGCGAGAGACCGAUAGCGAACAAGUACCGUGAGGGAAAGAUGAAAAGCACUUUGGAAAGAGAGUGAAACAGUACGUGAAAUUGUUGAAAGGGAAACGCUUGAAGUCAGUCGCGCCGUUCGGGAUUCAGCCUUGCUUCUGCUCGGUUUACUUCCUGUUGGGUGGGUCAACAUCAGUUUUGGUCGGAGGAGAAAGGCUUGGGGAAUGUGGCAGCAUUCGUGCUGUGUUAUAGCCCCUCGUUGUAUACUUCGGCUGGGACUGAGGACCGCAGCACGCCUUUGGCCGGGGUUCGCCCACGUACGUGCUUAGGAUGUUGGCA
rnacentral:rRNA from 1 species